rnacentral:rRNA from 1 species
CGGGGGCCCGCGCAAGCGGUGGAGCAUGUGGUUUAAUUCGAUGCAACGCGAAGAACCUUACCUACUCUUGACAUCUACAGAAGCCAGCGGAGACGCAGGUGUGCCUUCGGGAACUGUAAGACAGGUGCUGCAUGGCUGUCGUCAGCUCGUGUUGUGAAAUGUUGGGUUAAGUCCCGCAACGAGCGCAACCCUUAUCCUUGUUUGCCAGCACUUCGGGUGGGAACUCCAGGGAGACUGCCGGUGAUAAACCGGAGGAAGGUGGGGACGACGUCAAGUCAUCAUGGCCCUUACGAGUAGGGCUACACACGUGCUACAAUGGCGCAUACAGAGGGCGGCCAACUUGCGAAAGUGAGCGAAUCCCAAAAAGUGCGUCGUAGUCCGGAUUGGAGUCUGCAACUCGACUCCAUGAAGUCGGAAUCGCUAGUAAUCGUGGAUCAGAAUGCCACGGUGAAUACGUUCCCGGGCCUUGUACACACCGCCCGUCACACCAUGGGAGUGGGCUGCAAAAGAAGUGGGUAGUUUAACCUUCGGGAGGACGCUCACCACUUUGUGGUUCAUGACUGGGGGGAAGUCGUAACAAGGUAACCG